GAUGAACGCUGGCGGCGUGCCUAAUACAUGCAAGUCGAGCGAACGGACGAGAAGCUUUCUUCUCUGAUGUUAGCGGCGGACGGGUGAGUAACACGUGGAUAACCUACCUAUAAGACUGGGAUAACUUCGGGAAACCGGAGCUAAUACCGGAUAAUAUUUUGAACCGCAUGGUUCAAAAGUGAAAGACGGUUUUGCUGUCACUUAUAGAUGGAUUCGCGCUGCAUUAGUUAGUUGGUAAGGUAACGGCUUACCAAGGCAACGAUGCAUAGCCGACCUGAGAGGGUGAUCGGCCACACUGGAACUGAGACACGGUCCAGACUCCUACGGGAGGCAGCAGUAGGGAAUCUUCCGCAAUGGGCGAAAGCCUGACGGAGCAACGCCGCGUGAGUGAUGAAGGUCUUCGGAUCGUAAAACUCUGUUAUUAGGGAAGAACAUAUGUGUAAGUAACUGUGCACAUCUUGACGGUACCUAAUCAGAAAGCCACGGCUAACUACGUG
rnacentral:rRNA from 1 species